rnacentral:tRNA from 4 species
UGCAGUGUCACCUAAUAGCUAAGGUACUCGGCUCAUAACCGAGGAGAUGUGGGUGCAAUUCCCACCACUGCAACCA